GACGAACGCUGGCGGCGUGCUUAACACAUGCAAGUCGAACGAAGUGGCGAACGGGUGAGUAACGCGUAAUCAACCUGCCCUUCCGAGGGGGAUAACAGUUGGAAACGACUGCAAAUACCGCAUACUGAAGGAGGGGAUUGCGUCUGAUUAGCUAGUUGGAGGGGUAACGGCCCACCAAGGCGAUGAUCAGUAGCCGGUCUGGGAAGAGGAACGGCCACAUUGGGACUGAGAAACGGCCCGGUCGCCGGCGGGGUGAGGCAGGGGGGAAACUUCGGGAAUUGGCGAAAGUCUGACGAGGCGACGCCGCGUGAGAAGUGACGGCCUUCGGGGUGUGAAGAUGUGUUCAUGGGGGCGCGGUACCCUGAGAAAAAGCCGCGGCUAACUACGUGCAAGCAGCCGCGGUAAUAC
rnacentral:rRNA from 1 species